CCGAGUGAGGGUCCUCUCGGGCCCGACCUCCCAACCCUAUGUUUACUGAACCUCUGUUGCUUCGGCGGACCCGCCUCACGGCCGCCGGAGGGUUUGUCACAAAUCCUCUGGCCCGCGUCCGCCGACGGCCCCCCUUUAAAACUCUGUAUGAAUCGUGUCAUGAUGUCUAAGUACAAUGAUUAAAUUAAAAGCA
rnacentral:misc_RNA from 1 species